GUGCAUUCGUCAGCUUGGACCCCAAGAUUUCCAUCGAGAAGGCAUACAACAUUUCAUCGAUGCAGCUUCCUGAGUUACAAACCUGGUACUAGAUGCACCUCCAAAGAGCACAGGACUAUGUGCGAACCGUCUUGGAGCAAGCCCGGAAACCUUUUGUAUCCAGUACUAUUCCGAUGAGCAACAAACCCAAAAGGUUCCUCACCGUUAUAAUUGUUGCAGUUGUCGCAACUGGAAUGUCUGCAGCCAACUCUAUUACUGUCCAAAAACUGGAUAUGGAAAUCUUUGCGCUAAAGCAGUACAUUAACGAUAUUCAUCAGGUGACAGCAAAGAACACUUCUCCACUACGUGUUAAUUAUUGUGGAAGACACAGUUGUUACAACAAAUUUGCAUUCAG